AUAUUUUAUUAAUUUUAUGAAAGUUUCUGUCAAGCAAACAAUAGCAUGUAAUUCAUGUACCCUACUUAAAAGUCGAUUUGGACUAAAUUUUUUGCUUGAAAUAUCUUUAUGGUAGUCCUGCUGCAUGGAUUUAAGGUUUGAAUAUGAAAGAUUCUAAAAUAUAUUUAAAAAUUUUUAGGUGUCUGUAGUUGGAGGAUGGCUUAUAAGUUUGUUAUAACUCUUUUAGUUUUUGCUGAAUCUGUAUGACAGAAAGUGUUGAUCUCAUCUGAGAUGUGGAUGUGUAAUAACAGUAAAAUUAUGAUUUAAUUCUAGGUUUUUAGGUGGAUGAAUUUGUUUAAAUUUGUAUUUCCUAUGUCUCAAUUUCAAGGACUACUAAUUGUCCAUUUAAACCCUAUUUUGUCUGUGUGAUUAAGAGUGUUAUUAAAGCUUCCCUUUUGACCCACUGCGAAAAAAUUCUGAAGUGAGUUAUACCCUUUAAGACAAUCUUAACAUCUUAGAUCGUGACGUUAAUGUCUCAUAGAUAAAACAGAUUAAAAGAGAUAAUUACGUCACAAUCUGUGACUUUACAGAGCGUCUUAAAGGGUAUAAUACAAUUGUCGGGCAUCAGAAUAUUUUUUUUUCAGUGGGUCAUAAGGGAAUCUUACAUAAGACUUUUAUCAAAAAAUACAAGGUUAAAUAGACAACAAUUGUCCUUUAGUAUUUAUUAAAUUAUCUUUUCAGUCAUCCUAUUAGUCUUCAUGAAGCUCUUGAAAAAUUUAAAGUGGAUGUGUUUGGGGAAAAGAAGGAGAAAAUAAAUAUAUCUGUUUUACGUAAUAAGUUUCUACAAACUGCUAUGGAAAAUCUAGAUGAUAUUGACUUCCAGCAGAUAAUAAACGUGAUAUUUAUCGGUGAAGAAGGUGUCGAUGCUGGGGGACUCGCCAGAGAGUUUUUCUCUCUAUUGUUCAAACAAACACCAGUCUUUGAAAAUGGUGGAUUUAAUGUUAAUUCACAGUUACUGAGUGAUAAAAUAUAUCAAAUUAUUGGCAAAGCAGCGUCAUAUUCAGUUCUCAAUGGGAAUCAAGGACCUCAGUGUCUAAGAUCUCACCUUGUAAAGUAUAUAUUAAGUAAUGUGCUUCCAACAGAUGAAGAAAUUCCUGAGGAAAUUUUGCCAGCUAAUGUCUUGUAUGUCCUUCAAGAGAUGGGUAGAUUAGAUAAUGAAGGAUUAAAUACUCUAUUGACAGAAAAUGCAGAUGUAUUUGAAGCUGCAGGUUUUAGACAGAAGCUACAUUCAGGUUCAAAGCAAAGUGCAGCUCUGGCUCUUCAUCAACAUUUUGGAUUUUACAGAUUUCUACCGGUUAUGAUACAAUUUAUAGAUGGUUUGAAACUUCAUGGUGUGUAUGAUCUCUUGGUAAAAUAUCCAAAGGAAUCAUCCUUAUUUUUAAGUAUACAUAAAAGUA